rnacentral:rRNA from 1 species
AUUGAACGCUGGCGGCAGGCCUAACACAUGCAAGUCGAACGGAGCGGCGGAUGGGUGAUUAAUGCCUAGGAAUCUGCCUGUUAGUGGGGGAUAACGUCCGGAAACGGGAGCUAAUACCGCAUGCUCUAAGAUGAGCCUCGGUCGGAUUAGCUAGUUGGUGGGGUAAAGGCCUACCAAGGAGACGAUCCGUAACUGGUCUGAGAGGAUGAUCAGUCAGACUGGAACUGAGACACGGGCCAGACUCCUACGGGAGGCAGCAGUGGGGAAUAUUGGACAAUGGGCGAAAGCCUGACCCAGCCAUGCCGCGUGUGUGAAGAAGGUCUUCGGAUGGUAAAGCACUUUAAGUUGGGAGGCGUUACCAACAGAAUAAGCACCGGCUAACUUCGUGCCAGCAGCCGCGGUAAUAC